rnacentral:tRNA from 1 species
GCAUCAGUGUUUCAGUGGGUAGAAUGCUCGCUUGUCACACGAGAAGCCCUUGUUCGAGUCCCGGCCGAUACA